GUUAAAAAAAGAAGAAGAAAAGAAGCAACCAACACUUCACAAAAGAAUCUUUGCAUAUUUUUUAUAUACUUGUUCUCAAAUCAAAGGAAACCCCAAUGAAAUUCUAAUUUUUUGUUGUUUCAAAUCCUAAGCAUCUAUUUUCAAUGAAAACAUUAAUCCCUCAAUCGCAUCAUAGCCAUACACGCCUUUUGAAAAUCCGCCAUAACUCAAAUGAUAUUGGAAUUACACAAUCUUGGGCUUGUUUGAGAGAGAACUUAGCAUGUUUUCGAACGGAAUCAAUAUCAUGUCAUUCGGACAUCGUUUGAUCCUCAGAAAAUGACACAUAAUAAUUGACAAAAAUACUAAGGGAAACUUGUUCCACUAGCAUUUCUAUAGAUGGUAAUAGAGUGGAGGACGGGUGUUAGGUUGAUCAUAAUGUUACUUUCUAUAACAACUUAUUACCCUUUGAAGGUUGGAUUUGGCCUAAGCUAGAUUACUUAGCCUUCCCUCAGAUAUUUGUCGAGGAAACUGUGGCCCUUGAAUCCCCUUUCUCUAAGGGGGAAAUCAAGGUUGUUGUUUUCUCUUGGCAGCGACAGCCCCCAGUCUUGAUGGGUUUCCCUUAGCAUUCUUCCAAGUUUUUUGGUAUGUGAUCAAGUCAGAUUUAAUAGGUUUGUUCAUAGAUUUCUUCUCCAGAAGCCUGCUGCCUCGGGAAAUGGGUACAUUUGUUGCGAUCAUUCCUAAAAUCGAUGUUUUGCAGUAUAAUUUAUUUACAGCACUAUAUAUAAGAUGUGUGGUAUAUUUUAAAUAUAUUGGGGGUCAACCUAUGUAAUAGACUAUUCAUAAUGCUUGUGGAAGUUUUGUGCUCUCAUUGAUGGUCCUACGCCUGAAUAAAGGAGGGUUGCAUGAGGUUGGCAGCCGGCAUGGAGCUUUUGUCUUAACUUUUCCAUGAACCCUAACAAUGUGACAUUCCAAGCGUGAUAGAGUGGAAUGGGAACAGGGUUCAUGUAGCCGGCCCCAAUUAGUUGGGAUAAGGCUUAAGUGAUGAUGAUGAUUUUAAAUAUAUUGGCAGACCCCAGUAGCAAUUGGGCGGGCCCCAAAUAGCUGGGGCAACACUAAGACAACAAUGGUAGUAAUGUGUGUGCGCGCGUGUGCGAUAGCAUUCCCAUUUAUUUCCAGAGCGCCCACACCUCAUAUGUGUCCAAGAUUUUCAGAAUAUGCCAGGUCACAUCAGCAUUUCCUUCUUUCUAUUAGUAUCCAUAUCUGUAUCAUAGCGCCAUACCCAACCAACAUGUCAUAUGUUCGUAAAAGAAGCAAAAAAAAAAAAGAAAAAAAAAAAGCGAGUAUCGAUGAGAAAGAAAGAUUGCAACGAAAACAACUAAAUGCAAUAGUGAUUGAAAUUUGAUUUUCGGGAUGAAGAAGAGGUAAUAGAAUGAUCCAAAUCGUCCAGAUUUUGCGGAGAAUUGAACCACGAUAGCAACUGAAUGAAAUUCUAUAAAGGCAGUCCCAAACAUCAGUAUGGUAAAGAACUGAAACCAUGGGAAUUGUAAGGAAGCGGCUUUACGGGCUUCAGAGAUUUGUAGAGAGAAACAGCAACUCUUUUGGUGCUGGUAGUGUCCCUACCCGAAGAAAAGAAAAAGAAAAGAAUAAAUAGUUAUUUGAUUUUCUAUUUAGCACCGGCAAUCAUGUUAUUGUCUGUGGAUUUGUGACAGGAACAAUGGUUUUCAUCUCUGAUUUCCUGCAGCUUUAAUAAUUUUAAUGGGAGAUUUGUGUUAUUAGGAAUGCCAAUGAAGGGCAUAACCCCUGUUGAAGCUACGUUAUGAAAAUUGCAAAACAGAAAUGAUUACUAGGCAAGGAAGAGAGAACUAGUGCAAGGAUGCCUCUAGCUGCUAUUUAAAGCAGUGUUUUAAAUAGAAAGUAGCAUGUAGCGUAGCAUUCACCCCUUUGAAGCAUGAGGCUUAAGCUGCAUUGCAUGUGGCAUAAACCACACAUUAUUUCUAAAUUUUUUUAUUAAAAUAAUAAGAAAAUUAGAGCAAGGAAUAAAUAUAAAGAUAAAAAGAAGAAUGGAACUGAUUUUAUACUAUUGCUCAUAUUGUUUCACUAAAUCAUUGAAAACAUUUCUUGUGAAGAUAGUAAAAUGUAACAAAUCAUUUAAAACAUCAAUUGAUUUUACUGUUUUAGUGAAAAUAGCAUAAAGUGGAAGGGCUGCUAUGUAGCAUGUAACUUAGGCUCAUAGUGUGCAGUGCAGGCUAUGUAGUGUAUAGAUUAGCUUGUAGCAUAUGCUAUGUGGUGUGUAGCGUGCACUACAUGCGACUUAUGCUAUUUUCAUAAGCUACUUAGAGCAAAGGCUAGGCUAUGCUAUGUAAUGUAAGAAACACUAACUCGAACCAUUUUUUGUAUGACCAAGGGGGAUCAUGACAUCAAUAAUGGAAGAUAUACAGAGUGCAUAGAUGGCCUGGCAUUUUAGCAAUUCCUUGAAAGCAUUGAAUAUGGGUUAUGUUUCCACCAUCCUUCAAAACAUGACUAGUUAAUUCCUUUGAUUAAUGUGUUACUUCAUUUACUUAAAUGGUUUGGUCAUGUGCAAUGGAGACCAAUGACUGUGCCAAUUAGGAGUGAGUGAGUACAAGUUGAAGGCUCUAAAAUGGCAAGGGGAAGGCCAUAAAGGAGGUGGAUGAAAGUAGUCAGAAAAAGACUUAAUGACCUAUGGUCUAACUGAAACUAUGGCACUUAAUAAAGCAAAAUGGCUGAACAAGAUUCAUGUAGCAGAUCCCAAUUAAUUGGGAUAAGGCUUCGAUGAUGAUGAUGAUAAUUAAUGUGUUGCUUCAUUUUUUGGGUGAUAAGAUAAUAAUAAUAAUAAUUCUCUAAAUGCAAUUAAGCACCCUUUUUCUUAAUCUCACACUUAAUUGAAGCCAUGGUUGUGUUGCAGAUCUUAGUAAAAGAAUUUUACUCUCUUAUCAAAUUAUCACAAACAUAGACUGCUCAAAAGGACAAAAAAGAAAAAAAGAAAGAAAAACGAAAAAAAGAAAAAAACAAAUGUAUCAUCUAAAGUUGCAACUUCAUUGGGAGUUCAUUCCAUGUUACACAAAAAGUAUUCUGUCAAAUUGGGCCCUCAUUAAAAGCCUCAGUUUAUCAUAAGCCAAUUCUAAAACAACAGCAUAAAUUACGAAAUCGUGUAUAUCUGUUUUUGUAUCUUAUUGCACUUUCUAACCAGGAAUAUAUGAUAAACUGACCCUUGACCAUCAAAGUCCAUGCAUUCAACUUGUGCUGCACUUGGCACGCUAAUAUUAUGCAUUAAUUAGUGUCUUGUUUAUUCUUUUUGCCCUUGUGUUUCUGGUAAGGAGUGGCUAGGGCAGAUCUCCUUGUCAUUGACAGGAGACGACAGAUAAGUGCCACUGAAUCUUGGCCUUGUUUUUGUUAUUAUUUCCUCUGUUGUGAGUUUUGUGUCACCUCUUCUGAUGUUCUAUUCUCUUGGUCUGCUUGUCUUUUGAUGUGCUCUUGGAUCUUGCCAUGGAGGCUAGAUCUGUAACCAUUUCUUCUUCUUCUUCUUCUUCUUUUUUUAAAAUAAAAUUCUGAUUACCAACACACACACACACACACAAAGUAGGCAUAAUAUGAAUGGAAAUAUUAAUGAUAUCAUUCUUGUUGAAUCAGGGCACUGUAGAUCGAUGAAAAUCUUAUUUUUUAUGUUUACGAGAGAUGUACAUGCGUCUCUACUUUCCUUCGGAUAUUUUAGUGGGUUGUUGUGAAUAAGGAAGAGGAUUUUGUCAUCUUAAUCGUGCUCUCUCGCUCCCUUUUAUAGGAUCCGUAUUGUUUGCAUUAUUUCUCUUCAUUGUAGUUGUUUUCAGUCUCAUUGCUCAUAUGCAUUCUCUUGUGUUUCUUAUUUGCUGUCAUCCUUUUACCCCUCAUUGCUUUUCAAUUCAAUGCUUGGCCCAUAACAUGAUCUCUUCAUCUGCAGCCAUUUCAUGUGAUUGAUUUGGGCUUCUUUAUUCAUUUAUUUGGGUGGAUGGACCUGGUGGUGGAGGUUGUAAGUUGUUGGAGUUAUGGUUUUCUGAUUGGUUCCCUAGAGAAUGGUAUAUCAUGGAAAGAUGGAUUUGAUCUGGAUUUGGAGGAUAUAAGGGGCAUUUAUUGAGAUCACUCUGGCAGGUUGUGGUUGAUCUUUUUGGACCACUAGAUUUUUUUAUUUUUUUUCGAACAAUAGGACCAUUAGGUUAUAGGUAUUGGAGACCCAAAAGAUGCAGAGUUUGCAAUGCACUUGCAAGGUCUCAAAAUUUUCUCUUCGUUUCCUUAAAGAUUAAUUAUGUUGGAUGAUUCUCUUAUUGUAGUUAGAUGAGCUUUAGCGAGAUGCACCCAUGGAGACUAGUGUGCGCAUGCACAUUUGAAGAGAGAUAUUUGUGUGAUUCUGGUGGUUUCUUUUUUACCAGUUUCACUGAGAAGCUAUGGAGGAAUGGUUUCUUUCCAUCAUGCUUGCCUGAGAAGCUAAUGAAGAAGCAGCUACUCUUGCUAGAGAUGGAGCUUAUAUACCAUCCAUUGUUUUUAGAGUUCCGAGGGAUGGAGGGAGGGGAUUAACAAACUUCUACGGCUUCCAUAUUCGCCACAAAGGGCAAACACUGAGUGCUUGUUAUCACAUUGAGAAUCAACAGAAGAGUAGGUGGAUAACCCGCAUGAUUCUAGCCUAUAAUUGCCCAGGAUAUGCUUGGUAUCAGACCAUGCUAGCAAAGGCUAGUAUAAAGUUGGAUCCAAAUGUUGGAAUCACACCACCCUCUUUCAGUAAGGUUAUUUACGCGAAUAGUAGUACAUCAAACGAUUUUAUUUUACUUUUACUCAAUAAGUGGUAAAUAAGUUGUCCGUGUUGAUCUUAUUUCUAUACUGAUAUGCGCUUAGUUCUCUGAUGGAAUAUUGAGUUGCAAGCAAUAUAUCUUGCUGGUGGAUUAUCACACAAUAAGGCCAUCUGUGAGUGAAAGACAGACCAAGAUCAAACAUGAAGCAUGGAGAGAGUGGCAUAUUUAACCUCUACACUAUAGUUUGCAGGAAGCAUGAGCUGCAGCAAGAUAUUUAGCCUCUAUGUUAGAUUUUACCACAUAUGGCUGUUUCACAUUUUUCGCAGCUUGUGAUUGUCAAGCAAUUUAACUUCCCAACAAAUCUCUGAUAGGCACUUGCAUCAUCUAACAACUCCUGGUCAUAAGAGAGGGAGGGAGGGAGGGAGUUGACAGGUGAACAUCUCAUCACCCCGCUGAGAUCGAAAGACGGCUAAGACAACAACAAAACAGCAACAAAAGCACCAAGAUCGAAAGAUGGCCAAGACAACAACAAAACAGUAAUUUAAAAA